rnacentral:rRNA from 1 species
UACGGAGGGGGCUAGCGUUGUUCGGAAUUACUGGGCGUAAAGCGCGCGUAGGCGGCUUUGUAAGUUAGAGGUGAAAGCCCGAAGCUCAACUUCGGAAUUGCCUUUAAGACUGCAUCGCUAGAAUCAUGGAGAGGUUAGUGGAAUUCCGAGUGUAGAGGUGAAAUUCGUAGAUAUUCGGAAGAACACCAGUGGCGAAGGCGACUAGCUGGACAUGUAUUGACGCUGAGGUGCGAAAGCGUGGGGAGCAAACAGG